rnacentral:rRNA from 1 species
GUGCCAGCAGCCGCGGUAAUACGGAGGAUGCAAGCGUUAUCCGGAUUUAUUGGGUUUAAAGGGUCCGCAGGCGGUAUAUUAAGUCAGUGGUGAAAUCCGGCAGCUCAACUGUCGCACUGCCAUUGAUACUGGUAUACUUGAGUGUAAUUGAAGUAGGCGGAAUAAGUCAUGUAGCGGUGAAAUGCAUAGAUAUGACUUAGAACACCAAUUGCGAAGGCAGCUUACUAAGUUACAACUGACGCUGAGGGACGAAAGCGUGGGUAGCAAACAGGAUUAGAUACCCUGGUAGUCCACGCUGUAAACGAUGAUCACUCGCUGUUGGCGAUAUAAUGUCAGCGGCCAAGCGAAAGCAUUAAGUGAUCCACCUGGGGGGUACGCCGGCAACGGUGAA